UCUCCUGUAGCUCAGUGGUAGAGCGUCUGACCAGUGUGCGGAAGGUCUUAGGUUCGACUCUUAUUGGAAGAA